AUCUCGUGAGGAGGUGCUGCAAAUCAUAGGUGAAUUGAUAGGUGCUCUUCAGCGAGGUCGCACUAGUCUCAUAAUACCAAAGAAGAAAGCAAUCGACGAACUUAUGAAAGGGCGAAAUAUGAAAUCGCUCACACCUAAUCUACCAGAAGAUCAAGCAAUAUCUUUCUUUUUACAAUGCCAUAAACUCAUAAUAGCGAUUUAUCAAUUGUUAAACGUGCAGGGCACUAUGAAAAUGGAGGCCACACAGGCUGAGUGCUCUGUGGGUUGGCUCAAUGACGUGCUUGUGUUGUUUACCGUAGGUCUAACUCUAUGCCAACAGCUGAAGGAUAAAAUUAACGCAUUUAAAAUGGACACUUCAAGUUAGUAAUUUUCCUACCGUCGUCUGUGAAUGUAAGUUUGUGUUAUGUACACACAGCCAAUGUCAACCUAUAUAGUGGGCAGAAACGUCGUAUCUUCUUCUUUAGAAUGCUCAACUGGGUUAAACAAUUGUCGCGAUAAUUUCGUCGCUCCUGCAGCUUAUCUAAUGGCACCAUAGCCUCCAACUGUUUGGCAAUCUCCACGGCUGUUGGGCCUUCCAUUUUCGGUGUGGGACCCAUGGUUUGACUGACUGCGUACAUGGUAUUGGUGUAGCGUUCGAAGUAAUUGGUCAUACCUUCGGCGUUCAAGUGUGCAGUUUCAAGUGGUCCCAAGAACGCAUAACGCAUACCCAAACCAUCCGACAUUACACUAUCCACGUCCUUGACAUCGACGAUGCCGCUGUCGACUAAGCGCCAAGUUUCAUUUAGAAUGGCAUAUUGAAUUCGGUUAAGUACGAAUCCUUCAAUUUCACGGCUGAGUACUACGGGCUUCUGUCCAAUUUCUUCCAUAAUGGCGCGUGUCUUCUUCACUACCUCUGGCUUUGUCCAUGGAGCGGGCACCACUUCUACCAGAGGUACAUAGUAAGGUGG
rnacentral:misc_RNA from 1 species